UAAAGUUUGAAAUCUUGAGUACAUUUCUUCUAUACUCUCAUCAUCCUUCAUUCUGAAAAGUUCAUACUGAUGAACUAGCAUCAAAGCUUUAGCCUCUUUUACUUUCUUGCUGCCUUCAAAGUUUGCACAUAGAGAAGCAAACAUGGCCUUCGCAGUAGAUUUGUCACUCAUUUUCAUGUAUUCGGUGCGAGGUAUAGAAGCCACGAUGAUUCCUCUUAUCUUGUGAUGUUUCUUAUAAAGCUUCUUCUGAGCAGGAGUAUGUAUUCUUCUGUCUAUAGCAGCUCCUUCUUCAUCCAAAUCCAGAUCAUCAACUCCAUCUUCCAGUAUAUCCCAUAGCUCUUCAUCCAAUCC
rnacentral:lncRNA from 1 species